rnacentral:lncRNA from 1 species
AAUCUUUCAGGCAUGGGAGGUUAGCAAAAGGGUCGAUUAAAACUUCUCCCUCACAAGCAACGAACACACACCUUACCAAGUCUAAUUUCUGCAGCACCAUGAAACCCGAAGAUCGAAAUCUAUUACCGAAGCUAAAAGAUCUUAGUUCUAGAGCUUUCAGACUGUAAUUUUCAGAACUGAAUCCAAGCAAAUCAGUAGAUGGGAACUCCGAUGGAGUUCUACACACAUUCGAAUCUAAUCGAAUCCCUAAAUACUGAGUUUCAUAGGACAAUGCGUAUCUGAUAACCCUCGCCAACAAGCUAUUUUCUCCUAACUCAUCGUCCGUCAAUGGUUUCUCUAACUUGUCACUGAAAAUGACCUUGCUUUCAAUGGAUAGCGGAGCGACAUCUCCUUUUCUACGUACCUUUUGAAACUGGGGGGAGAGGAGCUGGGAUGCAAU